rnacentral:tRNA from 1 species
GUAAAUAUAGUUUAACUAAAACAUUAGAUUGUGAAUCUAAUAACAGAGACUAAUACACUCUUAUUUACC